GUCCACGCCGUAAACGUUGGGCGCUAGGUGUGGGGAACAUUCCACGUUCUCCGUGCCGCAGCUAACGCAUUAAGCGCCCCGCCUGGGGAGUACGGCCGCAAGGCUAAAACUCAAAGGAAUUGACGGGGGCCCGCACAAGCGGCGGAGCAUGCGGCUUAAUUCGACGCAACGCGAAGAACCUUACCAAGGCUUGACAUAUAGGGAAAUCUCAUAGAGAUAUGAGGUCCGCAAGGGCCCUAUACAGGUGGUGCAUGGUUGUCGU
rnacentral:rRNA from 1 species